GAUUUCUGACUAACCGCUUUAGCCCGCAGUCCUCGGAUUGUGAGUGCUGAAGCGCGUUUGUCAUCCUUCUAGAAAGCUGUGCCUACCGUUUACUCGGCCGGGCGCAUGCGAUCUAGAUCGUUUACUUUGAAAAAAUUAGAGUGUUUAAAGCAGGCUUACGCUAUGAAUACAUUAGCAUGGAAUAAUAAUAUAGGACUUCGGUUCUAUUUUGUUGGUUUCUAUAACUGAAGUAAUGAUUGAUAGGGAUAGUUGGGGGUGCUAGUAUUGGCCGGCCAGAGGUGAAAUUCUUGGAUUCGGUCAAGACUAACUUAUGCGAAAGCAUU
rnacentral:rRNA from 1 species